GACGAACGCUGGCGGCGUGCCUAAUACAUGCAAGUUGAGCGAUGAAGAUUGGUGCUUGCACCAAUUUGAAGAGCAGCGAACGGGUGAGUAACGCGUGGGGAAUCUGCCUUUGAGCGGGGGACAACAUUUGGAAACGAAUGCUAAUACCGCAUAAUAACUUUAAACAUAAGUUUUAAGUUUGAAAGAUGCAAUUGCAUCACUCAAAGAUGAUCCCGCGUUGUAUUAGCUAGUUGGUGAGGUAAAGGCUCACCAAGGCGAUGAUACAUAGCCGACCUGAGAGGGUGAUCGGACACAUUGGGACUGAGACACGGCCCAAACUCCUACGGGAGGCAGCAGUAGGGAAUCUUCGGCAAUGGACGAAAGUCUGACCGAGCAACGCCGUGUGAGUGAAGAAGGUUUUCGGAUCGUAAAACUCUGUUGGUAGAGAAGAACGUUGGUGAGAGUGGAAAGCUCAUCAAGUGACGGUAACUACCCAGAAAGGGACGGCUAACUACGUG
rnacentral:rRNA from 1 species